GAAGUUUCUUACAUGAAAGGCUUAGCCAGCCAUCAUGGCCCCGAGUCAUGCCUCGAUCGUCAGCAAUGGGAUGGGGAAGCGUUGACAGGGGAAAACACAGGCGUCCUAAUGAGCUCCGAAAACACCACGAAUCGCAGGCUGACCCUAUACUACGGAGGGGAAAGCAAUAUCGUCCAUCCCGAAAAGGCGAGGAAUGGGAGACUGCGGUGGAGUCAAAGAACG
rfam:Chlorobium phaeobacteroides BS1, complete genome.